AUACGUAGGGGGCGAGCGUUGUCCGGAAUGACUGGGCGUAAAGGGCGUGUAGGCGGCCGAUUAAGUCUGGAGUGAAAGUCCUGCUUUCAAGGUGGGAAUUGCUUUGGAGACUGGUUGGCUUGAGUGCGGAAGAGGUAAGUGGAAUUCCCAGUGUAGCGGUGAAAUGCGUAGAGAUUGGGAGGAACACCAGUGGCGAAGGCGACUUACUGGGCCGUAACUGACGCUGAGGCGCGAAAGCGUGGGGAGCGAACAGGAUUAGAUACCCUGGUAGUCCACGCGGUAAACGAUGAAUGCUAGGUGUAGGGGGUAUCGACCCCUCCUGUGCCGGAGUGAACACAAUAAGCAUUCCGCCUGGGGAGUACGGCCGCAUGGUUGAAACUCAAAUGAAUUGACGGGG
rnacentral:rRNA from 1 species